AAUGGGCGCAAGCCUGAUCCAGCCAUGCCGCGUGAGUGAAGAAGGCCUUAGGGUUGUAAAGCUCUUUUACCAGGGACGAUAAUGACGGUACCUGGAGAAUAAGCCCCGGCAAACUUCGUGCCAGCAGCCGCGGUAAUACGAAGGGGGCUAGCGUUGUUCGGAAUUACUGGGCGUAAAGCGCACGUAGGCGGGUCGUUAAGUCAGGGGUGAAAUCCCGGAGCUCAACUCCGGAACUGCCUUUGAUACUGGCGAUCUAGAGAUCGAGAGAGGUGAGUGGAAUUCCGAGUGUAGAGGUGAAAUUCGUAGAUAUUCGGAAGAACACCAGUGGCGAAGGCGGCUCACUGGCUCGAUACUGACGCUGAGGUGCGAAAGCGUGGGGAGCAAA
rnacentral:rRNA from 1 species